GAUGAACGCUGGCGGCGUGCCUAAUACAUGCAAGUCGAGCGAACAGACGAGGAGCUUGCUCCUCUGACGUUAGCGGCGGACGGGUGAGUAACACGUGGAUAACCUACCUAUAAGACUGGGAUAACUUCGGGAAACCGGAGCUAAUACCGGAUAAUAUAUUGAACCGCAUGGUUCAAUAGUGAAAGACGGUUUUGCUGUCACUUAUAGAUGGAUCCGCGCCGCAUUAGCUAGUUGGUAAGGUAACGGCUUACCAAGGCAACGAUGCGUAGCCGACCUGAGAGGGUGAACGGCCACACUGGAACUGAGACACGGUCCAGACUCCUACGGGAGGCAGCAGUAGGGAAUCUUCCGCAAUGGGCGAAAGCCUGACGGAGCAACGCCGCGGGAGUGAUGAAGGUCUUCGGAUCGUAAAACUCUGUUAUUAGGGAAGAACAAAUGUGUAAGUAACUACGCACGUCUUGACGGUACCUAAUCAGAAAGCCACGGCUAACUACGUG
rnacentral:rRNA from 1 species